rnacentral:tRNA from 1 species
UAUGACUCAAGUGGUAGAGCAUUUGCCUAGAAAGUAAAAGGCCCUGAGUUCAAACCUUAGUA